UUGGAGGCAUAACUUGGAAUCAGCUUUAGGGCAAGAUAGGGGUAAAUAGAGGUCGCAGGGAGAGAACUUCGUCCUGCAGUGAACAUAAGAGGCUGCUGUUGCUGCUGCUG
rnacentral:lncRNA from 1 species